rnacentral:pre_miRNA from 1 species
GUAGUAUUCCCUUCGUCCCAAAAUUCUUGUCUUACAUUUGUUUAGAUACGGAUGUAUCUAACACUAAAAUGUAACUAGAUACAUCCGUAUUUAGACAAAUUUAAGACAAGAAUUUUGGGACGGAGAGAGUACAAA